UUGGAUUACAAGCGCUGCCAAUCCCGCAGCUCGAGUAAGCGAGCUGACAACCGCUGCCCGCCCAUACUCCCAACCACAUAACAUUAGGUUCAGCACAGCCACGCCGCCUUCCUCGAUUAUGAUUGGUUUGUUUGCUAAAUUUAAGUGGACCGGUGUAUUUUCUUUGGCAUAUUCAAAUGUCUAUCAAACUGAUUGGCAGUUAUUUGCCUUUAAUAGCGGAAGUGCCACGACUGGUACUGGCUUAAAUCAGGUCACCAUUUUUUCACUGUGCAAGCAGGCAGUUCAGCUUUGCCUCUGCUUACUGAUUUGUGACUGCUUAUCUCACUCGACUCCAAGUGAGAUCUCAAGCGUGACUGAACCCACCUCUGUGGCAAACAAUGACCGAGUCAGGCUGCUGUGUCCUGCAGUUAGUUACCUAAUGCAAUCUUAUGGACAAUUUUUAUUUGCGGUGCAGUAUUUAUCAACGCAUUAAAGUCUCUACCUGGACCUGAAGUGAAACUCGCAACAGCAUCAACUUCAGCUAUGCAACCAAACUUUCGAUUGGCUACCAUUUAUCAAUAGGUUGAAGAGGAAACCAACCUCCAGUUUUAACUCCCAACCCUGCAGUGUAUUGCUCGUAACAUGGAGGGGAAAAAAAUCACUGGCAAUACCAUCAUCAAUCACAUGAGAAUUUGGAACAACCUUUAAAAUCCAGAUUAAGUCAAUUUAAAUUCCACUGGUGUACCUAUCAAAUACCUUACAGCAUUUCUCCUGUAGCCAGUGAUGGGAAGUAAUCCAGCCAAGAGAUGAUCAAACUCCACUGAUAUAAUGUCUUUGACAUAGGAAAAUGUCCUAGGUAUCUCAGAGAAUACAAGGAGGAAGUAUUGAUCCUUCAUGAAAGUACGAUGGGAAGAGUUAUCGAAAGCUUCAUCCAAAACUAAAGAGAGAAUCCUAAGCAGGAAGGGCAAAGUGACUGUACACUUUUACCAAAGAUGAAAGGGAGACAGGAAGAUAAGGUAGACUGUGCGUUGAGCCAAGUUUCAAGGAUACAGGAGCAGGGUCAAGCCUGGAGAAUCAUGAAAUCAUGGUGGCUUGGAACCAUGGAGAAAUAUUUUGGUGACAAGCAAUUACAAUUUGAUCUAUUAUGGGAACAGGCAGUCAACAAGAAUGCAAAUGUGCAGGCUUUGUCUAGAGUGAGACUUCAGAAAAUCUAGACAGAAGAGACCACAAGUGCUGGAACCUGGCAGAACGCACAAAGCUGGAAGAGCUCAGACACUGUCUAUGGAUGUAAAUGGAUGGUCAACAUUUGGGGUGUGACCUUUCAUCUGGAUGUCAGAAAAUGUUAGAUAAGAUGUAGAAAAGCCACGUCAGAAGGGUAAGUAAAGGGGUUUCAAUAGACGGGAGCACAAGUUAGUGUGAAGAUAAGUACCAUUAUACAACAAUACUUCUAAGGUGUGCACGUGCACACAUCUUUUGCUACUAGUGCAGGAGGGAAUUUAAAUUGUGCACAAAAGGUUGUCACCCUCUACCUUGUUGGUAUGUUAAGUAUAUUUCACAAUCGUACACAAUUAUAUUUCUUUUU